rnacentral:rRNA from 1 species
UGGGGGAUAUUGCACAAUGGGCGAAAGCCUGAUGCAGCGACGCCGCGUGGGGGAUGAAGGCCUUCGGGUUGUAAACUUCUUUUGCUCUGAACAAGGCAUGCUAAUGGGUGUGUUGAGUGUAGGGGUUGAUUAGCGCCGGCUAACUACGUGCCAGCAGCCGCGGUAAUACGUAGGGCGCGAGCGUUGUCCGGAAUUAUUGGGCGUAAAGGGCUUGUAGGUGGCUGGUUGCGUCUGUCGUGAAAGCUCAUGGCUUAACUGUGGGUUUGCGGUGGGUACGGGCUGGCUUGAGUGCAGUAGGGGAGGCUGGAAUUCCUGGUGUAGCGGUGGAAUGCGCAGAUAUCAGGAGGAAUACCGGUGGCGAAGGCGGGUCUCUGGGCUGUUACUGACACUGAGGAGCGAAAGCAUGGGGAGCGAACAAG